UCUCUUCUUGGAAUAGUAUACUGUUAAUAUAAUUUGAAGACAAAUGGAAGAAGGCAAAGAAAAAUGCAUGAUUUUGUUUGUAGCCGAACGUCCAGUGGCAAAUGCUUCAUUCAUGUUCAGAUGAGUAUAUUUUUCCGAGUUUCAGACUCCCAGAUAUCAUUUAUAAUCGUUAUGGAUAAGUCUGGCUAAAUUGACGAGAUGGUGCAAAUGUAUAUAGUUUUUUUACGUUAUAAUACAACACUUUUAUCAUUAAUAUCCCCAAGGAAUUGUAUAUUUAAAAGGAAUGGAAACGCGGCUCGAGAUCAAUCGGGAUACCAACAGCGCACCCGCAGAGUUAUAAACCAUGUCUGGCUCAGGCGGAAGUAUGAUGAAUAAUAUAAAAAAUCAUGACGGAGUUCCAUUUCCUGUCAUAUAAAUCGGUCUUUUAAUUCACGGGGUCAUCUUGCUUGAGACGAUAUAAAUGAGAGAGAAACCCGAAAUCAAGAAUAAACUUUUAUUCCUAGCAAAAAGUAAGGCCUUAGGUAUCAUUUUAAUGCCUCAUCAAACAUACGUUUGUAAUAUUGUAUUGAGUAAAUUCUCAUUAGAAUAGACCUCGGUCUUGAAAAUUGAGGGAGUUUCAUCCGGAUUACUAAACAAAAAAUACUGUGUUUUGAUUUUUUUCUAAAAACUUGAAAACUGCGAAGUGCAAAACAAAACAGUUGAUAUCAUUAUGAAGCUGAAACCUUAUUCUAUCGCUUAGGCUCUUUUUGAAGUUUCUUGUAACUUUUAAGAAUUUUCUACGAUUUUUCGAAAUUUCAGUUUUGAGUUUCAAU
rnacentral:lncRNA from 1 species